GCGGCCGAGACAGCAUCACACACUUACACACUCACAGGGGGCGGAGCCUGGACAGCUCGAAGCCGCGACAUGGAGCAGACACGGGGACAGAGCAGAAGCAGAAGGAGCCAGCAAGAGGCACCACUCUGAACAGAAGUGCCUGCGGGAAGGAGAGAAGAGACAAGUGGUGCUGGCUGCUGCUUCAAAGAGGGGCAGGGGUUUUCUGUUCCUGAGAUCAAAACCAAGUUAGAAGGUAUGGAAGCAGCUCCCCUCCCCACCACCUUAACAGAGAGGAGACUAAAAGAGGCAACACAGAAGUGGCCAGGCUGUCCCUGAUGCCAGCAACUCAGGUCCAGCACACACUAAGUGGG
rnacentral:lncRNA from 1 species